rnacentral:rRNA from 1 species
GAUGAACGCUGGCGGCGUGCUUAACACAUGCAAGUCGAACGGAAAGGCCCAAGCUUGCUUGGGUACUCGAGUGGCGAACGGGUGAGUAACACGUGGGUGAUCUGCCCUGCACUUCGGGAUAAGCCUGGGAAACUGGGUCUAAUACCGGAUAGGACCACACUUUGGGUGGAGAGGUGGAGAGCUUUGCGGCGUGGGCUGAGGGGGCGGCCUAUCAGCUUGUUGGUGGGGUAAUGGCCGACGACGUAGGCGACGGGUAGCCGGCCUGAGAGGGUGUACGGGCACAAGAGGACUGCGAUACGGCCCAGACUGCAACAUGAGGCAGCAGUGGGGAAUAUGACACAAUGGGCGCGAGCGUGAGGCAGCGACGCCGCGUGGGUGAUGACGGCCUGCUGGGUAUGAACAGCUUUCGCUAGGGACGAAGCGCAAGUGACGGUACCUGGAGAAGAAGCACCGGCUAACUACGUG